CUCCACCGCUUGUGUGAGCCCCCGUCAAUUCCUUUGAGUUUCAGCCUUGCGACCAUACUCCCCAGGCGGGGUACUUACCACUUUUGCUUCGGCUGCGAACCCAUGUUUAGUCCGCAACCUAGUACCCAUCGUUUAGGGCCAGGACUACCGGGGUAUCUAAUCCCGUUCGCUACCCUGGCUUUCGCGCCUCAGCGUCAGAAGAGAUCCAGCACGUCGCUUUCGCCACCGGCGUUCCUUCGGAUAUCAACGCAUUUCACCGCUCCACCCGAAGUUCCACAUGCCCCUACCUCCCUCUAGAACCGCAGUUUCCAAGGCACUUCCCCAGUUGAGCUGGGGGAUUUCACCCCGGACUUGCGGCCCCGCCUACGCGCCCUUUAAGCCCAGUGAUUCCGAACAACGUUCGCACGGUUCGUCUUACCGCGGCUGCUGGCACGAACUUAGCCCGUGCUUCCUCCAG
rnacentral:rRNA from 1 species